rnacentral:rRNA from 1 species
CAGGACGAACGCUGGCGGCGUGCCUAACACAUGCAAGUCGAACGGGGCGAUUCCUUCGGGGAUCGCUUAGUGGCGAACGGGUGAGUAACGCGUGAGAAACCUGCCUCUCAGUGGGGGACAACAGUUGGAAACGACUGCUAAUACCGCAUAACACUUUAGUACCGCAUGGUACAGAAGUCAAAGCUUUAUGUGCUGAGAGAUGGUCUCGCGUCUGAUUAGCUAGAUGGCGGGGUAACGGCCCACCAUGGCGACGAUCAGUAGCCGGUCUGAGAGGAUGAACGGCCACAUUGGGACUGAGACACGGCCCAGACUCCUACGGGAGGCAGCAGUGGGGAAUAUUGCACAAUGGGGGAAACCCUGAUGCAGCGAUGCCGCGUGAAGGAAGAAGAAUUUCGGUUCGUAAACUUCUAUCAGCAAGGAAGAACAAGGACAGUACUUGACUAAGCAGCCCCGGCUAACUACGUG